UCUCGCAAAUUGCGGUCGACAUAAAAGAACGGCUCAGAUCAAUUUUAAAGGCGUGGUGCACAUCGAUCAAUGCCACGUGCUCUGUAAUGCGUUGGAUCCCACUUGCCCUUUCCUUUUAAAAGAGGUUUCUUUCUCUAUAGUUUCCUAAGUACUAAGUUUUGUUGUAUUGUUUGUAUACCUAACUUUCUUAACCAAAAAAAGCAUCUGUCUCUGACUAUGGGUGGAUUUGAACAUAGAGUGAAGUUCAGAGCAAAGGAGGUAAAGAGAUUUUUCAAUAAGGGAAUUAAGACUGUUGGAAAUUCAUUCAAGAAAGGAUGGAACAAAGUCAAGUAUAUCAAACGUUGAUCCAGUAAUCAAGACUCACCUUAUUUUUAUAUUUUCUCUAUAUAGGUUUGCUUUUCAUGUUAAAUAUAUUUUGAGUCAUUCCGAUUUUUUUUUUGGGAAUUUUAUUAUGUUGUAAAGUGUUUGUUUGCCCUUUUAGUUUUUGGUUUUUGGAUUUUUACUCUUAUAUGUAUAAAUAUUGUUUGUGCGUCUGGAUUACUACUAUUCAUUUUAAAUUGUUUCAAGUUCUAUCCAUAUCCAGUAACAUAUUCAAGUUUUUGAUAGUUUUCAUGUCAACGCUGUUUUCUUCUUUGUUUCGAUUACGUGUUUAGGAUAGUUUAAUGAACCAAAAAUCCUUUUGGGAUUGAAGAUUAUGUGCGAGUGGUUAGUGAAAGGCAAGCUGUAUUAAAAGGGGCAUUAUUUGUGGGGAAAAAGAAUGCAUUAAUAUUAAAAUUAAAAAUUGAUACACUUAAACCUCUAUAUCCUCAAGGUUGUUAUAAUGGUGAAGACGGGACGUGAAUGCGUGCCACUCAAAAUUUCAUAUUCCAAUCUCCAGUUAAUAAUACUCUUAAAAUUUCAUAUUCCAAUCUCGGGUUAAUAAUACUAUCAAUUCCAGAUUCCAAUCUCGGUUUAAUAAUACUCUCAAAUUUCAUAUUUUUAGUUAUUUAGCGAAACAAUUUUAGAUAUUUAAAUUGAUUUCUAUGAUUAUUAGUGUCUAGGUAAUAAUUAAUCAAAGAAUAUUUUUUUUAUCAAACGUUAAGCUCUUAAAAUUCUUUUAAUAUUCAGAAUUACAAAUUUCACCAACAACAAUGGCUCUUCUCUAGCAUUAUGGUGCUUAAACUUAAACACAUUCUAAAAAGUAUUUACAAAGAAAGAAAUUUUUCAUAUGAUUUUUUUUUUUUUAAUAUCAAAUAUUUUUAAGGUUAUUUCAUGUAGUUUUUUAUAAAAAUUAUUUUUGAGAAAAAAAUUAUAAAUUGCAAUUUUGACUUUUGAUAUAAUAUCAAAAUUUAUAAUUCAAUUUUAAGAAAAUGAUAUAAAAAAAAUUAUAAUAUUUUGAAAAUUUUAAUAAAAUUCAUUUUUAAAAAUGCAAAGAAUGAAAUUUAUUUUCUAAAAUCUAAAACAAAAAUGAUCUAUUAUUAUCAAAGUGGUAUUAUACAAUGACUUUUAAGAAGAGAGAUUAAAUUCGUUUGGAUAUCCUCUGACUAGAGGACGCCUGAUUAGAGAAUACGUGUUUGGAAAUACAUACUCACCAUCCAAAUAACCGAGAGCACUGUCUCUCACGUAAGUGAUCAGAGAUUUUUUGCUUUUUUUUUCCUUUCUAAAAAUCGCUGAUAAAAGAUUGGAAAUAAAAAAAAAUCUAAAAUUUUGCGCUUGUUUAUGACAUUUAAUGUCAAUUUGAAAUCGCCAUUAAAUGAUUGAAAUUAAAAAAAAAAUUGAUGAAAUCUCUAUCCGUUUACGUGAGAGUCAUAUUAAAGUCUUUCACGGUAGACAAACCCAUAAUUGAGGUAGCAAAAGGUUCACAAAUACAAACGGAAAAGUGUUACAAGAAAUACGAUAUAUGACACAAAAAAAUAAUGAUAAUAAUAACAAGAAGAGUCCAGCAAAUAUAAAAGAUAGUCGUAUCUCAGACAAAUAAAAAGAAACACUUAAAGGUAGUCCUGAAUAAUACUUAGUUAGUGGAAUCGAUUGAUACGAGUAUGUACAGUUAAGUGGAAUAUGAAAUAUUGGGUACUCCUUUUGUUCUAAAUAGCCAUGUAGUUGUGGGGAGACUUUAUGAGUGCUAUAUUCAUUUUUAUGAAUGUUUGUUUACCCAGAUACAUUCGUGGUUGCAUUUGUUUAAGUUCAAAAUGGAAGUGUUAAGAUUUUUGAAGGUUUUCUCCUCGCAACUACAUCCUGGCGCUUAGGCUUAUAUUAGGGCGUUCCAAUUUUGGGUUGAAUAUCGAUCCUGGAAGCCCUCAUGUUAGUUGUUCUUCCAUUUUUUUGUCGUGAUACACACCUCUCAGAAUAAUGUUCGGGAUGAUCAUGUUGUGUUAAGAAGUUCCCCGAUUUAGACGCUGUGUUGAAAUGUGAGAUGGUUUCCAGAAUCACUGGUAAAACCCUUUAUACUCUUAGGGGCCUAAAAAUAGGUUCCGAAAAUAUUAGACGUAGGUUCAUUUCAAACGUGAGCCCCGUGAAUAUGUUGUUCGACCGGACUUUCCCACUCGUGAAGAGGUUGAUAUUUAUCUUGACACUUUUUAGGAGAAUCUUGGUUAUGAGAAGGGGUUUGAUCCUACUGAGGGCCUUGUUAACCUCACCCUGUUCGUUUUUGCUGUGAGGUUUGUACAUCCAUGGCGUCGAACGUCUCAAAGUCCUUCAAACAGAAUGUCUUGGCCAUAUUUUAGGUUCCUCAAGCCAUUGUGAUAGACAAGAAAACAUAAUUCACCGGCAGGAAGUGAAAAAAAUAUGUUAGAGGGUUGAAGGUUAAGAAGAAUUUCGCCUCAGUGGAACACCCCCAGAAAAACGGGAAAGCAGAAGCAACAAACUUGGUGUUUUUAAGAGGGAUAAAGCAGAGACCCGAAUAAGCCAAAGGGGAUCGGGAUGAUGAACUACCACAUGUUUUAUGGGCAUACUAUUAGCCAAUAUUUUUGACAUUACUAGUUCGAAGAAGAAAGUUAAUAUAGAAAGUGAAUAUGGCUAGAUGUGAAGUUACCAAAUGAUAUUUGGUUCGACCAAUGUUUGGCCAACUUCGACAUGUUUGCUUUGACAUUUGUGGGAUUUACCAUAUCUUGGCAAAUGUUCAAGGGCAACUGACUUCGACCACGACUACUUACAAAGGGCUAAGAUAAAGUAACUUCCAUCUAAAUAUUUUGGAUGUUGAAGACACAUGGGAGUCAACCAUUAAACCAAGACCACAUUGAAGGUUAGGUGUUAGGAAUACAAGUCAUAACUUUCAAAAAUAGUAUAUCUUCACUAGUAUAUAUAGAUAGUAUUUGUGUAGGGAUUAGAGGUAACAAAUCAUAUACAAAAAACUCUAUAGAACUUAAAGUACAUGCAUCAAAGAGUGAAACAAGUAUGUGAGACAAUGUAUGAUCUUGUACACCAUCUUUUACUCAUUUAAAUUGAAACCAUUUACAGUAUUGCUUGAGCAUAUACUUUUAUUUCAUUGUAUUUAAAUUUAUUUUAUGACAAUUCUUGUUUUCGAGCCAGUCGGUAUCCUUACUUAAUUCACAGUUUAUUUGUCGAAUUUAUGAACAUUCAAAAACCAUUUGUAUAAUUUACGCACAAAGUGACCUAGGAUUUACUAGUCGAUCCUGCAAGUAACAAUCUUUAAGACUAGCGCUUGUUUACCAAAAAUCACAGUAAACACAUACCGAAUGGCUCCCCACUUAACAACUAGCGAAACUCCUUUAUGUCUGACCUACAACACUGAAGUCAUUAUAUCAGUAGAGGUUGAAAAUAUGAGUAUGAGGAUGACUCGUUUUUUAAUAAAGGAAGAAAACAACCAUGUAGUUAGGGAAGAAAUCGACCUUUUAGAAGAAAAAAGGACAUCUGAUGCCUUUACCAGUGCUACCAUUAAGCAAACCAUUGCCUCCAAAUACAACCCACUUGUCCGAACUAGGGAAUCCAAAACAUGAGACUUCAUACUACGAAGGGUCGAUAUUAAGGGAAAAUCCGUGUGGGAUGACAAGUUAGCAGGGAAUUGGAAAGGGUUGUAUCAUGUCCAAGUUGGCACCGGAAAUGAGGCUUACACCCUAGAAACUUUAGUUGGGGAGCAAAUACCAAGGACCUAGAACAUUGCCAAGCUAAAGAGAUACUUCAGCUAAAAAAGUGCAAGGAUUGAACUAUUAUCUUUAUCUGAUGUAACUCUUUGAUAUAUAAAUAUAUGAUGGUUAUUUCUUCAUUGUUGUAUCAAUUGCACAUGCUUCCCUUUUUUCUCUUUGAAACAGAUAACAAGACAAAUUACGUGAGUUAUGGCACAAUUGGUGCACCCUCUCUUAGGAGCUAUCCACUCCAAGAGAGUAAGUGGUGGAGCCCUAGAGAUGUCCACUCGAUCUAGGCCAACGAUCUUGGGGAAGGGACGAGGAUCCAACCCUUGGCUGGGGACGGUCCUCUGUGACACAGAGAAAUUACUCCCCCUAAAACGGGACAUAUACCACAAAGUCCACCUUACCACACCACACUGAUUCCCAUUAAAGGGACAUGCUAAGAUGAAAAGCAUGACGACAUGCCGAAGCCUAUAAAACAAAACAAAACGGUAACUAAAAACAACAUACACUAACAAAAUAGGCAAAAUGGUGCAACAAAGCAUCAUUUAACUUAUAAAUAAAAGGAAAAUUAUAAGUUACAACAAAAUCUUUUUGAGGUCAAGCCUUAACUCAUCAAAGAGAACCCAAACAUUUGGGGCAAACAGCUUCAACUGAUACACUGUGUUCUUUAAAGAAGAGUCUACUAGACCCUCCACCAAAAGAUCUAGUAGUUGUUUAUCCCGACUGGCCAGCUCGCCUUGGAAAAUCUCCACUUCAUCCAAAUGUGUCUCAUUUUUCUCUUUAAGAUCUAUUUCGGCGACCAAGACACAUAAAGAUGAAGUAUCCAAAGAAAACUUCGUCUGAUGAGAAACUUUCUUAUACCAAGUGCAACCUCUAGAUCUACCACCCGACCGACCAGUUUCGCGGGAGUUCCAUGGAUGUUUACCUUGUCUAGGAAUGGAGAAAUUUUUCCUAACCCAUAGUAAAGCCCUGACGACUCUCCUUAAAGGUGAAUAACUUCCUAUUUGAUGAGAUUAUGCUAUGUCGACAAAGAUUCAACCUAUUGAGGAAGGGUACUUGGCACCAAGAGUUCCUUGCGGUCGGUCAUGACUAAAGUUAUGAUAGAGGCUCCCCAACUAGACAACUCACCUUGGAAAUGAAAGUUUAUGCGCGGUCUCUAAGAGAUGGGCGAAUUAGGUUUAUUGGACUUUUCUAAAUUUGAAGCGUCAACACUAGUUUUGUUAUUUUUCAGAAAAGAUAUGAAAGUAAAUAUGCUGAAAAAUAAAUGCAGAAAGUAAAGGACACAAUGAUGUAUACUGUUUCUCCUCAUAAUCCGAGAGUACUCUAGUCCCCUCACUCCCUAUGAGAGAUUUUUCAUUAUGUCAGACCUUUGUACAAGUCUUCCACCAAGACCUAUCCUACAAUCUUCUAACAUAAGCAACACAAUCAAUAAGGAAAAUCCCCUUAUGAUCUUUACAAAGUGAAACAAAAGAACAAUCCUUCCUUAUUCACUCUCUUUCUUCCAACAAUCAUGGAUAGUAAGGAAAUAAAAACAAUAUGAAUUUCUUACAAGUGUUUGAAGUUGUAUAACAAUGUAUAUCAGUUUUUAGAAUUGAUCUUCUCUAUCAAGUAGGCAAUUCACAAUAUGUAACACAAGUGUUCAAUGAUUAUAGUGUUGAAACUUUUAGAGAUGAAUGAAAAUGUAUGCAGUAAGUUUCAAACAAAAAGUUAAGUCACAAGGCACUUGUUUUGAAAAUGAGAGAGUAAUGAGUUUGAAUUGCUAUGAUAAAUUAGUUUAAAAUUCUGAAAUGCAUGGUAUAUGUAGUGCCUUAACACCUUUCCAAAAGAGUAAAAAUGCAUGAAUAGAGGCCAUGGUUCAAAAGGAAUUUCAAAAAUUCGUUUGCAUCAAAAAAUAAGUGAACCACUGUCACUACUUCAGUGGUAACCGAUUACUAAAAAUGGUGUAACUAGUUACACUUGAAGCGAUACUCAAAAAUUGAAAUUUUUGAAUGUAUAACUGAUUAUCAGAAAUGGUGUAAACGGUUACACCUUAGAUAUUUUCAAAAAUUAAGGUAUUUUUACAUUGAGUAAAUGGUACAAAUUGUGACGGUUUAAAAGUACCUUUACGUCGGUUUCAAGUGCCACAAUUUACGAAACACAAAAUGGUUAGUUUCAAAAUCAUUUUAAAAUAUGCAUGAAAGGUUUAAGAUGAAUAUGCAUGAUUUUUAUGAGAAAUUAAGAUAUAUAUAUAUAUAUAUAUAUAUAUAUAUAUAUAUACUUGAAUUGUAAUGCAUAUUCAAUCAUCUUGAUUCUUCCAUUAAGUUUCCAAAGCUUUCUGAUAAUUUGAACUUGAUUGCACUAGUCUUCAAGCUUUGACUUCUUAUUUUUAUUUAUGUGUUUUCCUUAAUCAAAAUUUUAACCAAGGACAAGAAGAACUCUUCUUCACAUUCUUUCCCUUUUUGAUGAUGACAAACCAUCCUUUGAAAUUUAACUUGUUCAUCAAAGAGUUGCUUCAAUACGCGACUUUUUGAAAUGUUCAAUAGCAACUAGAACCUCCCCCUAUAUUUUAUAUCCCCACCUUGAUUUUGCAAUUCAAGGAAUUCUCCCAUGAAAUAAUUAUGGACAAGAACAGAUACAAUACCUACUAUUUCUCCCCCUUUUGACAUCACUAAAAAGAAGACAAAGUAGAAUAAAAUACAAAGCAAGGUGAUAACAUAGGAAGGAUAUAUUUAUAAUUGAAAAUUAAUAGCACAAAAUUAGACACUUAUAUCUUUCAAGGAUUUGAUGUCAAAAUUGAUAUCAAUGUUGAUGCUUCUUUAAAACAUCUUUUUAAUCAAUGAAAUUUUUAGAAACUACCAUGUCAUAUGAUCUUGUGUCUUGAAGAAUCAAUCUUGAUUUGACAAUGCUUGCAUAUGACCUUCAAGUACCUACAAAACAAUUAGUUACAUCUAGUUACCCAAUUUUCUUUGGGUCCUUUUGGGUUAGAUACCUUCCUCACCCACACAUACUCACUACAAGGAAUACCAUAAUUUCUUAUACAAUAAGCAUUAGUAGUAUGGCAUUUUGCUCAUGUUCUUCAUCACUUGAGUGAUGUGAUACCAUCAAUGCCUUACAUGUAUGAUCUUCAUCUGAAGAUGAACUUAUCUCAUUGUCAUCCCAUGCUAGAUAUUUUUUAUUUUCCUUUUUGUGAUUCUUGUUUUUGAAUUUUUCUUUCUUUUCAAGUGUAGGACAUUCACUCUUGAUAUGUCCCCUUUUUCCAUAUUCUAAACAUGUAACUCUGCUUGCUGGUGCUUCUUUGUGAAUGAUCUCCUUUUUCCUUUCUUUUCUCAAGAACUUUUCAAAUUUUUUAAUAAAACCAUCAUCAAUCAUCAACGGAUUCCUCCUCUUGAUUGCUAUUAUGAAAUUUGACUCUUGUCUUUAAUAAAACAUCUUUUGAAUCUUUUACUUGUAUUUCAUGCUGCUCUAAUCUUUCAAGUUCUAUUUCAUGCUCUUGAAGUUUUCCGAACAAGGAAGCAGACAUCAUGGUAGAAAGACUUUUCUUUUAUGAUAUUGUUGUCACCUUUGGUUGUUAUUCCCUGGUUAAAUACCUAAGAACUUUAAUAUUUAAUUCAUCAUUAGUAAAAGUCUUACUGAGAGCAAUCAAGUGAUUGGUUAAGUGAAUAAAUCUCUUUUGUAAAGUAAAAAUUGAUUCUCUGGGCUGCAUUCUGAAUAACUCGUACUCUUGACUCAACAUAUUCAAUCUUGAUCUCUUUACUUCAGCAGUUCCUUCAAGAGUUUCGACCAAUGUAUCUCGUAUUUGUUUUUUCCGUUGUACAUUGAAAGACACGAAUUAAUCCAUGUUAAGUGCACUUUGAAGUAUGUUAAUUGCUUUCUUGUUGUAGAGUACCUUAUUCUUAUCAUAUUCAUUCCAUGAACUUUUAAUGUUUGUUGUCUUAACACCAUCAACAACAGUAGUAGGAACAAAUGGACCAUAUUAUACAAUAUCCCAUAUAUCUUCUCCUUGUGCUUCUAGAUGAGCCAUCGUGCGAAUUUCCGAAAUAUCAAAGUAUUCACCACAAAAUAAUGGAGGCUUAUUAUUGCUGCCACCAUCUCUGAACACGGGGUUCGUGGAAGCCAUUUUGGUUCACAAGAUAAUAUUACUUGAACUUGCUCUGAUACCAAUUGUAAGUUUAUGUGCGGUCUCUAAGAGAGAGGUGAAUUAGAUUUAUUGGACUUUUCUUAAUUUGAAGCGUUAACACUAGUUUUGUUAUUUUUCAAAAAUGAUAUGAAAGUAAAUAUGCUAAAAAAAUAAAUGCAGAAAGUAAAGGACACAACAGUGUAUACUGGUUCCCCUCACAAUUCGAGAGUACUCUGGUCCCCUCACUCCCUGUGAGAGAUUUUCCACUAUGUCAGAUCUUUGUACAAGUCUUCCACCAAGACCUACCAUACAAUCUUCUAACAUAAGCAAAACAAUCAAUAAUCACAAUCCCCUUAUGAUCUUUACAAAGUGCAACAAGAGAACAAUCCUUCCUUAUUCACUAUCUUGCUUCCAACAAUCAUGGACAACAAGGACAUCACAAUAAUCUGAAUUUUUUAUAAGUGCUUGAAGUUGUAUAACAAUGUAUAUCAAUUCCUAUAAUUGAUCUUCUCUAUCAAGUAGGCAAUUCAUAAUAUGUAACACAAGUGUUCAAUGAUUAUAGUGUUGAAACUUUCAGAGAUGAAUACAAAUGUAUGCAGUAAUAUUCAAACAAAAAGUUAAGUCAUAAGGCACUUGUUUUGAAAAUGAGAGAGUAAUGAGUUUGAAUUAUUAUGAAAGAGAGAUGGAUUUAAAAUUUUGAAAUGCAUCGUAUAUGUAUUGCCUUAACACCUUUCCAAAAUAUUAAAAAUUCAUGAAUACAGUUUGUUCAAAAGGAAUUUCAAAAAUUCGUUUGCAUCAAAAAAUAAGUGAAUCACUACUUCAGUGAUAAUCGGUUACCAGAAACGGUGUAACCGGUACUCAAAAAUUAAUUUUUUUGAAUGUGUAACCAGUUAUCAAAAAUGGUGUAACUGAUUACACCUGACACAUUUUCAAAAAUUAAGGUAUUUCUAAAUUUCGAGUAAAUGGUAAAAAUUGUGGCGGUUUUAAAAUAUUAUUACGUCGGUUUCAAAUGCCACAAAUUUCCAAAAAAUAGAAUUGUUAGUUUCAAAAUCAUUUUAAAAGAUUCAUGAGAGGUUAAAGAUUAAUAUGCAUGAUUUUCUUAAGAAAUUAAGAUAUAUAUACUUGAAUUAUAAUAUAUAUUCAACCAUCUUGAUUCUUCCAUUAAUUUUCCAAAGCUUUUUGAUA
rnacentral:lncRNA from 1 species